ensembl:ncRNA mir-4983 mir-4983 stem loop
GGCUGGCUGUCUUGACCCACUUGCUCGUUUGCAUUUCUGAAAAAUGUAUACGCAAAAACCAAAAUCAGAAAUUCUUUUGAGCAAGUGUGUCAUGAAAUUGCCAUUCGU